ACAUACAGUACAGACCAAAUGUUUGGACACACUUUCUCAUUGAAUUCAAUGAGAAAGUGUGUCCAAACUUUUGGUCUGUACUGUAUGU
rnacentral:pre_miRNA from 1 species